AUUGAACGCUGGCGGCAUGCUUUACACAUGCAAGUCGAACGGUAACAGGCCUUCGGGUGCUGACGAGUGGCGAACGGGUGAGUAAUGCAUCGGAACGUACCCAGAGGUGGGGGAUAACGCAGCGAAAGCUGUGCUAAUACCGCAUGUGAUCUGAGGAUGAAAGCGGGGGACCGAGCAGCAAUGUUUGGCCUCGCGCCUUUGGAGCGGCCGAUGUUGGAUUAGCUAGUUGGUGGGGUAAAGGCCUACCAAGGCGACGAUCCGUAGCUGGUCUGAGAGGACGACCAGCCACACGGGGAGGUGGACAGGGCCCAGACUCCUGCGGGAGGCAGCAGAGGGGAAUGUGGGACAAUGGGCGCAAGCCUGAUCCAGCAGUGCCGCGUGCGGGAAGAAGGCCUUCGGGGUGUAAACCGCUUUUGGCAGGAACGAAACGGUGUCGGCUAAUACCGGGCGCGAAUGACGGUACCUGCAGAAGAAGCACCGGCUAACUACGUG
rnacentral:rRNA from 1 species